ensembl:lncRNA
GAUACUUUGCAGAGAUGUUGAUCUUCCUUUCUUGGACUCAGGCUUGCCCACCAUAAGCAGCAGCUUAUUGAAGCUGCUGAACUCUGCUGUGCAAACUGCAGUCUCCUGAUAAUGCAGGGCCAUAGGGGACAAGGAGGCUGGUCUCAGUGUCUGUCUGGGGCAGUGGUGCACGUGGCUCCCUUCAGCCUAAUGAUGAAAAGGGAAAUGGGAUGAGGUCUUCACUAUCGAGAAAGGAGAAUCAGAAGUCAAGUCCUAUGUGCCAGGACACGGUCAGGCUGGGAUGAGGAAGGUGAUUCUCUCCAAAGGGCAUGGAACUAUUGGCAGCCUGCCUCUUUCCCUCCUCUUCCUCUGAAGCACCCUGGAGUCAGGAUGCAGCCUUUAAUGACUCAGUAGUCUGCUUGGCUGUGGCAGAUCUUACAUUUCUGGAGAGAAUCAAUAUAAACACUUUCUUUUGUCUUUCCUUUAUUUUUUUUCCCCUUUACCCAUUGUACUGCCUCCUAUUUCACUGUCUGCUGUCUACCAGCGCCUAAGGAAACUGUGAUUGGUAAUUACUGGUGCCUGGGGCUGCCCAGCCUGCAACAAAAUUGCUCAGUGUGAAAGGCAGCAAUGAUCGAUGUCACGCUUGGAGAGCACUGGCUGCUGGGAGAGGAGCCAAGUGGCCAACUGGCCGAUACAACGGAACAGCUGUGAGCAAGAUAAUGCAGUUGGAUUCCCUUAGAUGUGACAGACAUUCAUCCUGAUCCUUAAUUCAGUUUCCAUUGGGAGGACAGAUCUCAGGCCACGGAGUUAACACAAAUAAUGUAAAAAUGGUGAAGGUGACAGAAGAGUUAGGCUAAAAAUGAAGAAGCCUACUGCCUUCAACACAGAGAAUGUGGGCCGCAAAUUAUAUCUCAGCCUAUUUAAUCGCCAGGCAAAAUGUGGGACAAGAACUCUUGGGGGCUCCCAGUCAUCGUCGAUAUGAAGCAUUUGUUAUAAGUAGCCCAUAAUAGCUGCUCUGGCCAGCCUCCUUCUCAUGUUCAAGAAGUAAAAACAGCAGGAGGUUUUUGAAAGCGUGAAGAACUGCCUCUUCAUUUCCUGGUUUGGAGACUGACUCAGAAUUGAAGACAUUAAGCAUUAAAAUUAGCUGAAAAAUAAAGGGUGGAGAUGCGAAUAAUGUCAGGGACUUUGCAUUCUAUUUCUCACGAGCUUUCAAACUUGUUCAACUUUUAAGAAAAGUCUUGUUUAAUACUUGUUGUUCCAGCUACUUUUAGAAGACAUUUUGGAAGACAGGAAGGCCAGAUACUUCAGGCAAGAGGCAUAAUGACUUGGGGCACAGACCACUAAAAAAAAAAAUCAAUCCUGAAUCCCUGAGGCUUCCGUACUCUUGUUGAGAAGGCAGAACCUAGUGUUUCAUCAAAUUUUUUGUGAUAACCAUUGAUGACGUUGCAGAAACCAUGAUAAUGUAAAAUAAUGGAUUAAAUUUGUAUGAGCAUAACUGUAGUGAUGAAACAAUUUAAACUCAUUUCUGAAGGCAUUCAUGCACUGGUGCUUGCUCAGGGUGUGAGCUAGAAGGCCACUAUCCCUUCAAAAUUAGACAGAGAUGUUGAUGACCAUUCUCAGUUAUUAUACUUCUAAAUUACAGCCUGUCCUCAUCCUUGAAGAUCAAAAAGGGAGUAAUUUCUGUUUUACAGGAGAUUACUUGCACUACAAGUCUAACUCUUGUUCACUUUGAGGUACUUAAAUAAAUCUGGAGCCCUGGCUGUAGGACAGACAGACAGUUCCAGUGGGAAAAUCAGCUCUGAAUUUCAUAAUGGGAAUUUCAUUCAUUUUCUGAAUGUGUUCAUCCUUAUCCAUUAGCCCAGAGGACCCAGGACUAGCAGACGCCUUUGAAAUUCAGCCCACUGCCUCAGGUUAGAUUAAAUGAAUCCAUACUUCUGAUCAGCAGAGUUAAAAAAAAAUACAAAACCCAAACCAACCAAAAAGCAUCAACAACCACAUAACCAUAUAAUAAUAUGGAAGGAAAUAAAGGACAAGGGAUAUUUUUAUUUGUGCAGCUGACCAGAUAUUUCCAUCUUUGGAUUGCUCCCUCUGCUGCCUGCAAGGUAGCUGGAGGGGAGCUAGCAAAGCUACCCAGGUGGACUCUGCAUCCCUCUUCCUCGCCCAACUCCCAGCAUUAGAGAUGCCGACAGUUACUAGAUAAAGUUAAAGACUCAUGUAGUGAUCUUCACACUAAUUGGACUGUAAUGUAUAGCCUCGGUCAAGCAAAUCUCUCCCAGCACUCCUCUCCACAGACGACAAUCAAGCCAUUUACAGAAGAUGCAUCGGCUGCUGGGACCCUGGAGUAACCUUAAACUACGCUGGCCUUUUAGCAGAAAACACAAUUAAUUUUGAUACUGAAGGGCAAUUAGGACUGGGGUUAAAAUAAAAAAUCUUCUGAACAGAGAAUGUCAAAGACUGGUAAGGAAACUAUUUCCCUUGUACACAGCUUGUUGAAGGUCUGUAAGCACGGCGACUGUCAGCUCACGUUAAUUCAUAUCACUUUGAAAACCUCUCAUUUCAAUGUAGGAAAUAUAAAUUCAGAUUAAUAAGCACUGUGCUCAAACCUCACUAAGACUGAUGGCUGUUUUCUUUAAGUCUUUUGCUGCUGAAAUGAGCACAGCUUCUCCCUCUUGCUGGGGAAACCUGUUUUACAUCCCAGAAUGUAGUGAAAUGACCAAAUGCAUUUAUUUUGUUCUGUUUCAUUUCUAAAAGAAGAUAGUCUCCCAGAUGACACUCUGCAGAUCACGGCUGAGAGCAAAUCUUGUCAGCAACUCUGUAAACUACUCUUUAGAAAUACAGAAGAUGUUCACAGUAAUACAUAUCUACAAUGCACCCACAUGCCCUGAUGCAUGUGCAAGGCAGCCAAAAUUUUGACCUCGCCUGCACAAACCGCAUAGGUCGAUGCCACUCUCAAUAAGUCAAGCAAAUGCACCAG